UACAGAGGGUGCAAGCGUUGUUCGGAAUUAUUGGGCGUAAAGCGCGUGUAGGCGGCUUUGCAAGUCGGGUGUGAAAGCCCUCAGCUCAACUGAGGAAGUGCGCCCGAAACUGUAGAGCUUGAGUACCGGAGAGGAUGGCGGAAUUCCCCAAGUAGAGGUGAAAUUCGUAGAUAUGGGGAGGAACACCGGUGGCGAAGGCGGCCAUCUGGACGGAUACUGACGCUGAGACGCGAAAGCGUGGGUAGCAAACAGG
rnacentral:rRNA from 1 species